UAAUAAAAUAAUGCUCCCAUUAUUCUUUUAAUUUAAGACAGUGAUGACAGAUCGUUUAUAUUUUACAUAAAUUUGUCCACAAAGGCAACGUUCAACGCUUCUAUUUAUAUCAUUCACCGACUUUCUACCCACAACUCCUCGUCAAAACGGAAGCAAUCAACUAAUUUGUCCUUCAAAUGGCUUCGCGAGACGGUUAUCUAUUAAUCCAUUAGCGAAACCGGCACAAUACAACUUCGCGUACGUCGUCCGUCGCCGUACGUGCACAGUCAAUAACCUAAACAAUACACGCGUGACUGUUAAGAUUACGAUAAGCUCCAGCCACUUCCAAUUAACUAAUUAAAAUCUUAAAGUGUCUCGCCAAAUGUGGGCCCUUUUGCGCUGACGAUCCAAGUUGGUGCGUCUCAUUCUAUUCUUACGUCAACAGAGACGAUAUUGUCGCUUUCGUCGAAAAACUCGCAAUCAUCCCAGAAGGGCUUGCUACGAUCAUUCACCACCGCCGCCCGCAACUUGACACUAAUGGAACGAAUCCAGCGUGGAAUAACAAUCGAAAAUGGCAAAGCACGAGCGUGUCUGCAAUGCUCGAUGCGCGAGUUCGACGGCCACGGAGCGUCGCGACGCUCACGCGGCGCUCACGAGUGCCCGAACGCGAACGCGUUUCGACAUUUAUGCUUUCGUCGAUUCGCGAAGCCGGACCAUGUUGCGCGAGCUUUUUCCCUUCUCUUUUGUUGGUUUGUUAUGAGGGGGAAGCUUUUGACCCGAAGUUGCUGUCGCGGGAACUCACCCGAAGUCGACCGACGGCGUAUGUCGACCGGCGCGCGGCGUCGCUCGCGUCAGUCUCACUCUGGACGUCGUACGCAGAGGACGCGUGCUCCGGUGCUCACCACGUGGCGUGUGACGAUUUUCGGGUUGUUUUAUUUGUUUUUUUUGGUUGUCGUUUUUUGGUGCUUAUUUUUAAGCGUGUUCGCCGUGCGUUAGUGUUCGUGCGUGUGUGUGUGUGUGUACAGAGAGAAGUAGGCGGCGACGACGACGACGCGCGAGUUCGCGAAAAGUUCUUCUUCUCGACGACGCGACGCAGCGCAUACUUGGAUUCUUUUGGGUGCGCGGUUAGCCUAGUUCUAAAUUAGUCUGCACCUUUCCCUUGUACAGUGUAUAGUGUACAGCAAAAAUAGCUUAAUUUGUUAUUUUGUUUUUAACGCUCUGUACAAAAAAAGCAGCAAAAAAAAAAGAGUUCUUCUCACUCGUGUCGACGCGGGAUUUCUUCUGCGACAGUUGAGUUUCGAGGAGUCGUUCCAAAAGUUGUGUGCACUUAGCCGCCAUCGGCUCAGCUGUGAAGUCAUUCUCAAGUGUGAUAGUUAAGUGCCUUUCUUGAUCGCGAAGAUCACGCGCGAGCGUGUUGUAUGUUUUGGUUGGAGGUGACACACACCGAAAAAAUAAAGGCUAUAAAUACAAAAAUAAAACCGUUCUGACAAGAAACGAAGUUAUAAAUACACACAACAUACUUACACAUACAGUCGCGCGCAAGUCGCGAGUGUGCUCACGUGCAACAAGCCAAGUGAAGAGAAGAGAAGAUAAAAAAUCAAGAAAUAUUCUGCAGUAUCACGAAUGUUUUUAAAUAAGAAGAAGCGAAGAAGUUAAAACAAGGAAAGCAAAACUACCGAAAGGAAGCAACAGCAACAACAACAAAAAGGAGUUUAGCGGGUCGAUCCAAGUUGGCCUUUGCGAGAAUUCGUCCGGUUCAUAAGUGUGUUUGUGCGCUGAAAAAGGAGAUCAAAGCAGGCAGAGUGAACGUGUGUGGAUGUUUUAAGAGCCAGGUUUUUAGCGGUUCUUGGUCUUGUUCUUGGUGGUGCCGGUGUUCUUGCUGUUAAAGUGGUUCGAACAAGUCAUUAAAGGAGAGAGAGAGGAAGAGAGAGUUGAACGAGUUGUUGAGUUGAGCUGCCGGUUGUUCCAGAGUUUUGCAAGGAGCCAUUGAUCAGCAGACGAACGGGGAAGAUACUUGCUUCACGCAUUUUGGAUUAAAAAGUAAGUCUCCUGCCUCAAGUCAAACGCGUUCGUCAAGUUCGUCAAUUAAGUAAGAAUUAUUCAUAAGUUCUGCUCAAGCGGGCUCGACCUCUUUGUGCGAUUUCGCGCGUUUCUCACGA